GUCUACGGCCAUACCAAGUUGAAAGCACCAUUUCUCGUCCGAUCACUGAAGUUAAGCAACGUCGGGCUCGGUUAGUACUUGGAUGGGUGACCGCCUGGGAACACCGAGUGCUGUAGACU
rfam:Lottia gigantea unplaced genomic scaffold LOTGIsca_2162, whole genome shotgun sequence.